rnacentral:rRNA from 1 species
UACAUAGGAUGCAAGUGUUAUUUGGAAUAAUUGGGCGUAAAGCGUAUGUUGGUGGCUUUUUAAGUCCACCGUCAAAUACCAAGACUCAACCCUAGACAGGCAGUGGAAACUACUAAGUUGGACUACGAUAGAGGUAAAGGGGAUUUUCGGUGGAACGGUAAAAUACGUAGAGAUCGAAAAGAACACCAACGGUAAAAGCACUCUGCUGGGCUGACAUUGACAUAAAGAGACGAAAACUAGGGGUGUGAAUGAG